rnacentral:rRNA from 1 species
GAUGAACGCUGGCGGCGUGCCUAAUACAUGCAAGUCGAGCGAACGGACGAGAAGCUUGCUUCUCUGAUGUUAGCGGCGGACGGGUGAGUAACACGUGUAUAACCGACCUAUAAGACUGGGAUAACUUCGGGAAACCGGAGCUAAUACCGGAUGAGCUUUUGAACCGCAUGGUUCAAAAGUGAAAGACGGUCUUGCUGUCACUUAUAGAUGGAUCCGCGCUGCAUUAGCUAGUUGGUAAGGUAACGGCUUACCAAGGCAACGAUGCAUAGCCGACCUGAGAGGGGGAUAGGCCACCCGGGAACUGAGCCACGGACCAGACUCCUACGGGAGGCAGCAGUAGGGAAUCUUACGCAAUGGGCGAAAGCCUGACGGAGCAGCGCCGAGUGAGUGAUGAAGGUCUUCGGAUCGUAAAACUCUGUUAUUAGGGAAGAACAGAUGUGUAAGUAACUGUGCACAUCUUGACGGUACCUAAUCAGAAAGCCCCGGCUAACUACGUG